GACGAACGCUGGCGGCGUGCUUAACACAUGCAAGUCGAACGGUAAGGCCCUUCGGGGUACACGAGUGGCGAACGGGUGAGUAACACGUGGGUGAUCUGCCCUGCACUUCGGGAUAAGCCUGGGAAACUGGGUCUAAUACCGGAUAGGACCACUGCCUGCAUGGGUGGGGGUGGAAAGCUUUUGCGGUGUGGGAUGGGCCCGCGGCCUAUCAGCUUGUUGGUGGGGUGAUGGCCUACCAAGGCGACGACGGGUAGCCGGCCUGGGAGGGUGACCGGCCACACUGGGACUGAGAUACGGCCCAGACUCCGACGGGAGGCAGCAGUGGGGAAUAUUGCACAAUGGGCGCAAGCCUGAUGCAGCGACGCCGCGUGAGGGAUGACGGCCUUCGGGUUGUAAACCUCUUUCAGCACCGACGAAGCGCAAGUGACGGUAGGUGCAGAAGAAGGACCGGCCAACUACGUGCCAGCCGCCGCAGUAA
rnacentral:rRNA from 1 species